UUCAGACAGGCAUCUUUUAACGUCUAGACAAUGGAGCCUCCUUUCAUUAUUGUUCUUUGGGGACUGACACAAGGAUGGAAGAAAAAUGUCUUGGGUUCUAUGAAACAGGGAGACCACUUUAGGUAGAAAAGAAGGAUCUGGUUUAAUGAGCACUCUAUCCUCCAGGAUGUUAGUAUAAGGGCUCACGCACACGACCGAGAGCGGUCGGCGG